rnacentral:rRNA from 1 species
AGCGUGCUUGGGCGAGAGUAGUACUAGUAUGGGUGACCCCCUGGGAAGUCCUCGUGUUGCACCC